CAGCUGGGACAUGGAGACGCAGGGGGAAGCUUAUAGGGUGAUGAGGCGUUAUCUGUUUAUCCAGGUGACCUCAGGAACAAGUCAGUCAGGAAGCCCCGCUGCAGCCAUGGCUUUUAAAGACAUCCAGAAGACAUCAUGGAACCAGAGGUGGGGAUUCACCAGUGAAAAUUACUCUAACCAGCCACAACAUAAAAUCUUUAGAGAAGAUAUGUACUGACUUGAUCAGAGGUGCAAAAGGAAAGAAUCUAAAGGGAAAGGACAAGUUCAAAUGUCCACCAAGCCUCUGAGAAUCACCACAAGAAAAACUCAUGGUAAAGACUUCAGAUCGUUUUCAGAUGAGGAUCCACAAGAGCGACUCAUUAAUUUACACAGUCCUUCUGAGAUUGUUAAGCAGAUUACUUCUAUCAGUAUUGAGCUAGGAGUCAAGAUUGAAGUCACCAUUGCAGAUGCUUAAGUCAAACUUUUUAUUAAACUGAUUAUCAGUU